UCAAAAACAUGUCCAUAUGUUAGAUUUAUAUGGUCUGGCCYGCUCACUGAUGUUUAAUUAAAGAGCCGCGGUAUCUUGACCGUGCGAAGGUAGCAUAAUAAUUAGUCUCCUAAUUAGAGGCUUGUAUGAAUGGUCGGACAAGAUGGAAACUGUCUCAAUAUAAAAAAUAAAAUUUAAUGUUUAAGUAAAAAAGCUUAAAUGUAAUGGAGGGACGAUAAGACCCUAUAAAGCUUUAUAAUAUAGUCCUCUUAUAUAAAUUGUUUCGUUAACACAUUAUCAGAAAAACUAUAUUAUUUUACUGGGGCGGUAAAAGUAUACUCUUUUGGUUAACUGCUUUUAUUUUUAAAAACAGAUAUAACUGAAAAUAAAUUGAUCCAUUAUUAAUGAUUAUAAGAACAAGUUACUUUAGGGAUAACAGCGUAAUUUUUCUUGAGAGUCCUCAUCGAAAGAAAAGUUUGCGACCUCGAUGUUGAAUUAAGGAUAGCCUUAAGGUGCAGCAGUUUUAAAGGCAGAUCUGUUCGAUCUUUAAAUCCUUACGUGAUCU
rnacentral:rRNA from 1 species